rnacentral:rRNA from 1 species
GACGAACGCUGGCGGCGUGCUUAACACAUGCAAGUCGAACGGGAAGGCCCUGCUUUUGUGGGGUGCUCGAGUGGCGAACGGGUGAGUAACACGUGAGUAACCUGCCCUUGACUUUGGGAUAACUUCAGGAAACUGGGGCUAAUACCGGAUAGGAGCUCCUGCUGCAUGGUGGGGGUUGGAAAGUUUCGGCGGUUGGGGAUGGACUCGCGGCUUAUCAGCUUGUUGGUGGGGUAGUGGCUUACCAAGGCUUUGGCGGGUAGCCGGCCUGAGAGGGUGACCGGCCACAUUGGGACUGAGAUACGGCCCAGACUCCUACGGGAGGCAGCAGUGGGGAAUAUUGCACAAUGGGCGGAAGCCUGAUGCAGCAACGCCGCGUGCGGGAUGACGGCCUUCGGGUUGUAAACCGCUUUCGCCUGUGACGAAGCGUGAGUGACGGUAAUGGGUAAAGAAGCACCGGCUAACUACGUG